GCAGCCAAGUCGUGAGGCGGAGCUAAUCCCUUAAAGCCAUUCUCAGUUCGGAUUGUAGGCUGAAACUCGCCUACAUGAAGCUGGAGUUACUAGUAAUCGCAGAUCAGAAUGCUGCGGUGAAUGCGUUCCCGGGUCUUGUACACACCGCCCGUCACACCACGGAAGUUGGGGGCGCCCGAAGCCACUUAGCUAACCCUUUUGGGAAGCGAGUGUCGAAGGUGAAAUCAAUAACUGGGGUGAAGUCGUAACAAGGUAUC
rnacentral:rRNA from 1 species